rnacentral:rRNA from 1 species
GCUCCACCGGAAAAAGAAGAGUGGCGAACGGGUGAGUAACACGUGGGUAACCUGCCCAUCAGAAGGGGAUAACACUUGGAAACAGGUGCUAAUACCGUAUAACAAUCAAAACCGCAUGGUUUUGAUUUGAAAGGCGCUUUCGGGUGUCGCUGAUGGAUGGACCCGCGGUGCAUUAGCUAGUUGGUGAGGUAACGGCUCACCAAGGCCACGAUGCAUAGCCGACCUGAGAGGGUGAUCGGCCACAUUGGGACUGAGACACGGCCCAAACUCCUACGGGAGGCAGCAGUAGGGAAUCUUCGGCAAUGGACGAAAGUCUGACCGAGCAACGCCGCGUGAGUGAAGAAGGUUUUCGGAUCGUAAAACUCUGUUGUUAGAGAAGAACAAGGAUGAGAGUAACUGUUCAUCCCUUGACGGUAUCUAACCAGAAAGCCACGGCUAACUACGUGCCAGCAGCCGCGGUAAUACGUAGGUGGCAAGCGUUGUCCGGAUUUAUUGGGCGUAAAGCGAGCGCAGGCGGUUUCUUAAGUCUGAUGUGAAAGCCCCCGGCUCAACCGGGGAGGGUCAUUGGAAACUGGGAGACUUGAGUGCAGAAGAGGAGAGUGGAAUUCCAUGUGUAGCGGUGAAAUGCGUAGAUAUAUGGAGGAACACCAGUGGCGAAGGCGGCUCUCUGGUCUGUAACUGACGCUGAGGCUCGAAAGCGUGGGGAGCAAACAGGAUUAGAUACCCUGGUAGUCCACGCCGUAAACGAUGAGUGCUAAGUGUUGGAGGGUUUCCGCCCUUCAGUGCUGCAGCUAACGCAUUAAGCACUCCGCCUGGGGAGUACGACCGCAAGGUUGAAACUCAAAGGAAUUGACGGGGGCCCGCACAAGCGGUGGAGCAUGUGGUUUAAUUCGAAGCAACGCGAAGAACCUUACCAGGUCUUGACAUCCUUUGACCACUCUAGAGAUAGAGCUUCCCCUUCGGGGGCAAAGUGACAGGUGGUGCAUGGGUGUCGUCAGCUCGUGUCGUGAGAUGU